GCUCGAUUGGUCCAGUGGUUAAGGCUACAACCCACGGGAUCCUCGGUUCGAUCCCGCGAUCGAGCA